AGUGAACGCUGGCGGUAGGCCUAACACAUGCAAGUCGAACGGCAGCACAGUAAGAGCUUGCUCUUACGGGUGGCGAGUGGCGGACGGGUGAGGAAUACAUCGGAAUCUACUUUUUCGUGGGGGAUAACGUAGGGAAACUUACGCUAAUACCGCAUACGACCUACGGGUGAAAGCAGGGGAUCUUCGGACCUUGCGUGAUUGAAUGAGCCGAUGUCGGAUUAGUUAGUUGGCGGGGAAAAGGCCCACCAAGGCGACGAUCCGUAGCUGGCCUGAGAGGAUGAUCAGCCACACUGGAACUGAGACACGGUCCAGACUCCUACGGGAGGCAGCAGUGGGGAAUAUGGGACAAUGGGCGCAAGCCUGAUCCAGCCAUACCGCGUGGGUGAAGAAGGCCUUCGGGUUGUAAAGCCCUUUUGUUGGGAAAGAAAAGCAGCAGGUUAAUACCCCGCUGUUCUGACGGUACCCAAAGAAUAAGCACCGGCUAACUUCGU
rnacentral:rRNA from 1 species